UGGAAUGCGAUGGCCUGUAUCACCCCC
rnacentral:piRNA from 1 species